rnacentral:sRNA from 1 species
CGCCCGGUCGUGCCACCGGUGGACUGCCUCAUGGCCGGAGAGCCGUGAUGACGCCGGACAUGACAUUGUUUACUUGAACUGCAUGCGCGCCACGAUCGCCGUACGUGAUAGUGCCGACCCCGUUUGUAGCUUACACGGAUUGUACGAUAUAGAUGAAUGUAUGUAAAUGUAAAUGUUAGUAUUAGCAG